AGCAGCCGCGGUAAUACGGAGGAUGCGAGCGUUAUCCGGAUUUAUUGGGUUUAAAGGGUGCGUAGGCGGCUUUUUAAGUCAGCGGUGAAAUUUUGCAGCUUAACUAUAACAGUGCCGUUGAUACUGGGGAGCUAGGAUUUGGUUGCUGUGGGUGGAAUGUGUGGUGUAGCGGUGAAAUGCUUAGAGAUCACACAGAAUAUCGAUUGCGAAGGCAGCUCACAAAGCCAAGAUUGACGCUGAGGCACGAAAGUGUGGGGAUCAAACAGGAUUAGAUACCCUGGUAGUCCACACUGUAAACGAUGAUAACUCGCUGUCGGCGAUACACAGUCGGUGGCCAAGCGAAAGCGAUAAGUUAUCCACCUGGGGAGUACGACCGCAAGGUUGAAACUCAAAGGAAUUGACGG
rnacentral:rRNA from 1 species